UACGUAGGGUGCGAGCGUUAAUCGGAAUUACUGGGCGUAAAGCGUGCGCAGGCGGUUGUGCAAGACAGAUGUGAAAUCCCCGGGCUCAACCUGGGAAUGGCCGUUGAAACUGGCGAACUGGAGUGUGGCAGAGGGGGUGGAAUUCCGCGUGUAGCAGUGAAAUGCGUAGAGAUGUGGAGGAACAUCAGUGGCGAAGGCGGCUACCUGGCCCAAUACUGACACUCAGGUGCGACAGCGUGGGAGCAAACAGG
rnacentral:rRNA from 1 species